rnacentral:rRNA from 1 species
AUUGAACGCUGGCGGCAGGCCUAACACAUGCAAGUCGAACGAGUGGCGGACGGGUGAGUAAUGUCUGGGAAACUGCCCGAUGUAGGGGGAUAACUACUGGAAACGGUAGCUAAUACCGCAUACCAUCGGAUGUGCCCAGAUGGGUUUAGCUUGUAGGUGAGGUAACGGCUCACCUAGGCGACGAUCCCUAUCUGGUCUGAGAGGAUGACCAGCUACACUGGAACGUAGACACGGUCCAGAAUCCUACGGGAGGCAGAGGUGUGGAAUAUUGCAAAGUAGGCGCAUGCCUGAGGCAGCCAUGCCGCUUGUAUGAAGAAGGCCGUCGAGUUGUAAAGUAAUUGCAGCUGGGAGGCUUUACCCGCAGAAGAAUCACCGGUUAAAUCCGUGCCAGCAGCCUCGGUUAUAC